UGCGCAGGCGGAAUGAUUAGUCAGUGGUGAAAGCCCUCGGCUCAACCGAGGAACUGCCAUUGAUACUGUCAUUCUUGAGUACAGUUGUAGUGGGCGGAAUGUGUCAUGUAGCGGUGAAAUGCAUAGAGAUGACACAGAACACCGAUCGCGAAGGCAGCUCACUAAGCUGAAACUGACGCUCAGGCACGAAAGCGUGGGGAGCGAUCAGGAUAGAUACCCUGGUAGUCC
rnacentral:rRNA from 1 species